rnacentral:rRNA from 1 species
AGAGUUUGAUCAUGGCUCAGGAUGAACGCUAGCGGCAGGCCUAAUACAUGCAAGUCGAACGGGCUGGAGUAGCAAUACUUCAGUUAGUGGCGCACGGGUGCGUAACGCGUAUGCAACCUACCUUCUAUUGGGGGAUAGCCUUCCGAAAGGGAGAUUAAUACCGCAUAAUAUCAUUUGAUGGCAUCUGAAGAUGAUUAAAGCUACGGCGAUAGGAGAUGGGCAUGCGUGCCAUUAGCUAGUUGGUUGAGGUAACGGCUCACCAAGGCGACGAUGGCUAGGGGUUCUGAGAGGAUGAUCCCCCACACUGGUACUGAGAUACGGACCAGACUCCUACGGGAGGCAGCAGUAGGGAAUAUUGGGCAAUGGACGCAAGUCUGACCCAGCCAUGCCGCGUGAAGGAUGAAGGCCUUCUGGGUUGUAAACUUCUUUUAUCUAGGAAGAAAAUACUCUUGCGAGAGGAACUGACGGUACUAGAUGAAUAAGCACCGGCUAACUCCGUGCCAGCAGCCGCGGUAAUACGGAGGGUGCAAGCGUUGUCCGGAUUUAUUGGGUUUAAAGGGUGCGUAGGCGGCCCUGUAAGUCAGUGGUGAAAGCCCAUAGCUCAACUAUGGAACUGCCAUUGAUACUGCAGGGCUUGAGUACAGACGAGGUUGGCGGAAUUGAUGCUGUAGCGGUGAAAUGCAUAGAUAGCAUCAAGAACACCGAUUGCGAAGGCAGCUAACUAGGCUGUAACUGACGCUGAGGCACGAAAGCGUGGGGAGCGAACAGGAUUAGAUACCCUAGUAGUCC